rnacentral:rRNA from 1 species
CCUACGGGAGGCAGCAGUGGGGAAUAUUGCACAUUGGGCGCAAGCCUGAUGCAGCCAUGCCGCGUGUGUGAAGAAGGCCUUCGGGAUGUAAAGCACUUUCAGCGGGGAGGAAGGCGGUGAGGUUAAUAACCUCAUCGAUUGACGUUACCCGCAGAAGAAGCACCGGCUAACUCCGUGCCAGCAGCCGCGGUAAUACGGAGGGUGCAAGCGUUAAUCGGAAUUACUGGGCGUAAAGCGCACGCAGGCGGUCUGUCAAGUCGGAUGUGAAAUCCCCGGGCUCAACCUGGGAACUGCAUUCGAAACUGGCAGGCUAGAGUCUUGUAGAGGGGGGUAGAAUUCCAGGUGUAGCGGUGAAAUGCGUAGAGAUCUGGAGGAAUACCGGUGGCGAAGGCGGCCCCCUGGACAAAGACUGACGCUCAGGUGCGAAAGCGUGGGGAGCAAACAGGAUUAGAUACCCGUGUAGUC